CCACCUUGGCUUCACAAAGUGCCGGGAUUACAGGUGUCAGUCACUGUGCCUGGCCUGUAAUUGAUAUGAAUCCUUAGUUACCCAUUCAAUAGCCUAAACCUUCUCUCAGGUCAGGGAGUCUAGAAGUAAUAGAAAUUUAUUUUUUCCAGCCAUUUUUGUAGCUCAGGGGUCCAUGAGACAUAAUUCUGGAAAAUACUACGUAGAAAAAAUCUGAUUGCUUCUGGAAAAUAUUCCAGCCUUAAAAAAGAGAUACACAAGUUGAGUGAUCCCAUUUAACCCCUGCUCUUUCUUUUUUCUCUAGAUGCCAUUACACUGGGACUAGUGCCAGGAGCCUUAGCAGUCCUCUGUGACUGCACUUGAGCCAAAGGACAAGGCCAGCAUCCUGACACAGGCUGAAAGUGCCUGGAUUCUUUGCUGACAUCACCAAGCUAGUUAACCAUUUCCAUACAGCCUACUUCUGGGCUUCCUAUUCAUCAACUUAAACAUCCUAAUGGUUUAAGACAUCCUUAGUUUUCUGUUACAUGUAAUCAAAGCAGUCUUUUAUUUAUUGAGCAUCCAUUUCCUGUAUGGAUCUCAAACACAAAUCACUUUCCCACUAAAGAAAAUGAAUUAUAAACCCUACCUUCACAUAGUGAACCAGAGAAAGUAGAAAGCAGAAAAUACGUUGACAUAGAUACACAGAUAAACAAUUGUUCAGAGAUCUACCAGGUCAAGUAAACACACUAAAAUGAUUUAUUAGGUUGAGCAGUCAGGAUUUCUGCAGAGUAUAUAAGGGUGAAGCAAAGUGAUUGUAUAAAUUAAUUGAUAAAGACUAUAAUUUGAUCAAUUGCAUUAAAAAAUUAGAAUAAAGACCUGAAACUGAAAAGAGACAAUUCCAAGAUUUCCAUGGGAUUGCCAGGCAAAAAAGGGAAGAACUAUGAUAACACAAAAAAUGAGAGUCCCAACUGAUCAGAAAAGCCUCCUUCUUGGCCCCUCUAGUCUUAUCUCCAGUCCCUAGCAAUAUCAUUAGUCCAUGAAGAAGUAUCUAAUUUUUUUAAAUUGUGUGUUUAAAUUAAUUUAUAAUGAAACUAACAUAGGUAUUAUUCUGUUUUAAGAUUUAGGCAUAUUAAAUAAAUCACUUCAUUAAUCCCAAAUUCAAACACCGCUGCUGUUUAUUUUUUUACAUUGGUAUCUUGAUGGAUUGAAUUCUACCUAAUAAAAAUUUCCCUAAUUUUGUUGCAUUUAGUAAAUACCUCCUCCCUCUCCAAAUUCUAUAUCUAGAUAAAGUUAUUUCUCUUAUUCAUGUCCAUUCAGAACAUCUCUACCUGAACCAAGAAGUAGAGUUUGGGUCUUAUGAUAACUAGUUGGGCACUUCAUGAAACGUCUGUGAAAUGAGGUGUGAGCUCUCAGCCCAUAAAACAAUAAUUCCCAUUCUUUACCACUAGAUUCAGAAAACAUGGACUCAUGUUUGAAACAUUUCAUGAGGUAGAGGAAGAACUCCUAACAUGUGAUAUAUUAUAUCCAGCUUCUUGGUGUGCUGAAGCCAAGAUAGAUUUCGGAGUUUGUUAAACAAAAUUAUAAUAGUUAGCUGUAGUGAGGUAUCAGCCUGUGUCCCAAACAUUCUCUCAUUCUUUCUCACUGUAUCUCAGAGCUUGAAUUUUCACAUGGCAAAAUCGAGCACAGAGAAUUAUUGGAUGCACAGUGGAGAACACUGGAGAAACGGAUGGCUUCUUGUCUAAGAAGAUGUAUUAUUGCUGUUUUCCUAACUACAUCGAGACUAUUCAACAUCUUUUCCUGGGCAUCAAAGGAUUAUUUACAACACGUAUCAGCCUGAGCCACUAAUAGAGAAGAGCGAGUAAUGACAAAAUUUCAUUAUUCAGAGGUCUCAAUCAUUUUUUUCACGUCAAAUGCAAAAUAUCUCAAGUUCCAAGCAUUUGCAUGAUGCUUCUAUUAUUGUAAUAUGCCCAAUUUUAAUAUGUAAUUUAGAAAUCUGAAGCUAAAGUCCUUUGUUCUCAAUCUUUUGUGUCCAACGUAAUUCAUGUUAUUCAAGUCAAAUUUUCCAUCACGUAGUGAAUUUUUCUACUGCUAAAGGGAACUUUAUUUUUCCCAUCUCUAGGAUCUCUUGGACUACAGUUAAAGUAUUAAAAAAAUAAAAUAUCAGUACUUUUACUGGAAAAUCUGCUCAAAUCUGAGUUCUGGAUAUGUAAAUUCACAAGUAUGACAUUCAAUGACAAACCAUUGUCCAUGAAUCCUAAGAAUAUCGAUAAUAAAUAGAAUGUAUUGUAAACUGUGUGCCAGGCACUUGCCAAGCCAUUUCACUUGGCAAUGUAAAUUUACACUUAUGCAAGGCCUUUAUUUCCAAGUAUUUCUGCUAAUACUCCAUUGUAUUUUCACGUGAUAAUUCAAAGGCAAGUAUCAUCUCUCUUUCUUUUAUGUAUGAAAAAGCUGUGACAAAGUCCAUGCUUCUGUUUAUGUAAAAAUGAAAGCAACAGCUUAACGUUGGAAGGAAGUCAGGAUGCAGAACAAAGUCUGAUAUCAUUAUAUGCCUCUAAUUUUUGCUUAAUAAAAUAUUUUCUCUGAAAUUACAAUACAUUAUAUAUACUGUGCAUUAGCAUUCUCAAAAUGCUUUUUCAUACAGUAUCUCAUUUGAACUUCACAAUCACCCUUUAACGGGUGUGUGUGCAUAUGUUUUUCAAAUGGGACAAUAAUAUUUUGGUCAUUGUCCAAAAGUAAAAAUAAUCCAAUUUUUAAGAUAAAAGCAGAUACUAAAAGAUGUCAAAGUGACUUACCCAAGUUCACAUAGCUUCACUUCUGGACUUCUAGUAGGUACCAUGCUCUUCUCACCAUAGCAAAUCACAACCAAAAUUUGGCUUUUUCCUUUUCUAUAAAAAUGUUAAAAUAUAUUGCUCUCAUUUCUUAAAAUCACCAAGGAAUUUUUACUAGACAUCAAUAUUGUUCUACUUCUCUCUCUUUAUAAGUUAAAACACCAUGAGACUGGUUUUCUAAUCAGCAUACCAGCUACCAAUUCUAAAACUGUCCUUCAAGGCAGUCACCUUGAAAAUCUUUAGUCCCAUUACAAGCAUAACUGACUGAUCAAAACAUGUUUAAAAUGUUUUAGGAGUUACUUUGAAAAUCAGGUUACAAGCCACAAAAGAAUAUCGCUUUCUUUACUUAACAGUUAUACCUCAUUUAAAAAAAAAAUUAAUAACAGUUUAAUCACUCACUUUCUUUACCAGAUGAGCCUCUGAUUUCUUUGGACCUUUCCCAAAUAUAAUAUUUUUGCUCAAAGCAUGAAAAAUUUUUACGUGAAAUACAAUUUUCAAGGUUUGCAUGGUCUUGUGGGACAAUUCCACAUGAGAAAUUCCAAGAAUGAGUUGUCCAAAGGCGGCAUCCCUGAAAUGAGUAUGAAGCCUGCCAAGUUGAUGACUUUGAUGGAACUAACUUUUCCUUAGUGUAAAUAAUACCUUUCUGACACUUUGACAAGUUAAUGAAGCAUUUCUCUCCCAUAUGAAAAAAUCAGUUGGCAUUCCUUCAUCAAGCAAGCAGAAUGCCAACAACCAAGGCAAGAAGAAUGUGUAAAAGGAUUCAGUAUGUUCAAGAACCCCAAGCCUGAUAACAAAAAUUACUUCAAAAACUGGAAUUUAGAGAUGGCCUAUUUGGUUUUCUGAUACCCUAAUAGAGUUCUUUUCCCUUCUGGACCUCUUCAGAUUGUAUGUAAAUAUGUGUGUGCAAAUGCUUGUCGGUGGGUGAGCCUAUACAACAUCUCAAAAGCUUUUCUUAGUCUCUAAGUUCAUUAUUUUAAAAAUAAUUUUAAUUAUUUUUAAACUACUACUUCUUAUUUAUCCCAAGGUUUUAGUGCCUUCUUUUUUCAUAUUUGAUUGCCAGGACGAAUGUAAUGAAGCUUUUUCACUUUGUUUUACUAGCUGUCCUCUAAACUUAUUGUAUUUUCAAAACUUAAUUUUAGAAAAUACACAACAACGAAAAUAUCACUUAAAUCAGACUCCUGCAGAAAGGAUUUCCUGGCUACAGAAGAAAUAAAUGUAAAUUUUCCUGUAAAACCUUGCUAGCCUUGAGAAAUCUCUUGAGUUUGAAGCAUGCAAAUUCAUGCAUCUUGUUCAUAGAACCAGCAGCCUUCAAACUUUUGUUUAAGGAGCGAAAGUUUACUAUCUGAAUAGCACAAAUUUGCAAUAACUACAGAGCAUUCAGAGAAGUUGGUACCAUUUCUAACCAAAUAUGAUUAGAAAGUAGAGGACGCAGCUGAAGUGAUGGUGAAAAUAUCUUCACUUUUCUUGGAGUAAAUUUGAGAGCUGGAAGGCUAGAAAGUACAUUAAUUAGACAUUGCAAUGUUCACAUUUAGUGAAAACUGAGGCCUCUAAAAUUUAAAUGAAUUUUCCCAAAGUUUCAUUGUUUGUUAGUGUCAAAACUCAGGACUAUAACCCAAUUUUCUUCCUUCUAGCCCAGUUCUUAAAAUUUAAAAUAUUGGAAUAAAAUAUAGUCAAAGAUAAUGUGAGCCAUUAUUAAUGACAAAGAUUAGUAAUCAUUAAAUUCAUUUCUAAUCAAGUUUUCCAAAAUCUGUUUUUUGAAAUUAAAAUUGUAAGUACAUAUUCUGCUCCAAACCACCCAACUUCUUAGAAAAUGUAAUAUCUGAACACCAUCUUAACUUUUUCUAAACCAAGAAACUUAAGCCUACUAGCUACUGAUUCUAUUCUUGUGACCUACUCCAUGGAUUUUCUUUGGCAGCCCAAUAAAAACCUCACAUGUUGAAAUAAUUUAUUUCUGAACCUGAUAUCCCUCUGCAAAUUCUUCCAUUUGAUUAAUUUUUUUCACUUUAUCAUUAUCUCAUAGAUAUUUUAACAGAAUAGGAAAAUUGCUCAUUUCUCCAAUUAUGAAAAUAAAUUAAGGAAUUUGAGAGAGAAAUGGAGAAUUAACUUCUAUAAAUUUC